GUUUGCAGCCACCAGACUGAUGAUGAACAUGCCAGUGGAACCAUCUCCUGCCAGGUUUAGCUCUCUGUGGUCUGUUCUAGACUUAAGAUUCUGAAGUCAUGGAAGGUCUCUGCUGCAACUGGAAGUUUUCGAUCACUUAAAAACAGUCCUCAGAUAACAGUCAAAAACCACUGAUCUGAAGGACCAGAGGUACCAGAUAUUCAGCUUCUGGUGAGAAUAAGGAAGAAUUACAAGCAAGUCCAUGUUAUUGAAAGCUAUACUUGCAGGGAAAUGCUGAAAUAACGACCACGAAAAAAAGUAGGAAGCCCCACUGAACAUGGUGCUGUUUGAACAGGGGCAGCACCCCAGAAGCACACACUUCCUCAUCAUGUGGGAAAACGUGAGGGAUGCACACCUGGAAUUGCUCAGAGAAAAGCAUGUGCAGUGCUGAUUCAGAGCCUUAUGUCAGCUAGCCUGGGACAGCCGUGUUCUUGGAGCUGUUUUCCAAAGCAUGCUGGUGAGCAGAAGCCACAAACUACAACGUCCUGCACCUGCAGCAGACAGAAACCAAGGUUCUGUCUGUUUUCUCUGUGAGU